rnacentral:rRNA from 1 species
UGUAAGCGUAUACCAAAGUUGUUGCAGUUAAAACGCUCGUAGUCGGAAUUUGGCAGUUCCGGAUGUGUGCACGUCGUGUGCGCACUUCGCGGGGAUUGCUUUUGUGGUCUUGCGUAGGAUGAGGCACUUUUAUUAGUGAACGUCCUCACGCAACCACUUUUUACUGUGAGAAAAUCAGAGUGCUCAAAGCAGGCAUUUGCCGUGAAUGUAUUAGCAUGGAAUAAUAGAAUAGGACUUGGUUCUAUUUUGUUGGUUUGUUGGGACUGAGUAAUGAUUAAGAGGGACAGUUGCGGGCAUUUGUAUUUCGGUGCUAGAGGUGAAAUUCUUAGAUUACCGAAAGACAAACUGCUGCGAAAGCGUCUGCCAAGGAUGUUUUCAUUGA